rnacentral:sRNA from 1 species
CCUCGCCACUCCAGCUGCGCCUCCGGCUGCAGCGCACACGUCUCCUGCCUCCUCCUCCGGAGCGUCGCUGUCCGUCGGGUUCAUCCCUCGCAGCAGUCUCCAGGCGAGAGAGGGGGCCAGAGUGCUCGCCCUUCUCCUAGGGGCACCAUGCCCAACGACGAGGCAUUCGGCAAGCCCUCUACACCGUCGGAAGCCCCUCACGCCCCCGGGGUACCGCCGCAGGGCAGAGCCGGGGGCUUUGGCAAAGCGUCUGGGGCGCUAGUGGGGGCGGCCAGCGGCUCGAGCGCCGGGGGCAGAGGAGGCGGCUCCGGCUCCGGGGCGUCGGACCUGGGUGCCGGGAGCAAGAAGUCCCCGCGGCUGCCCAAGUGCGCACGCUGCAGGAACCACGGCUACGCCUCGCCGCUCAAGGGCCACAAGCGCUUCUGCAUGUGGCGCGACUGCCAGUGCAAGAAGUGCAACCUGAUCGCCGAGAGGCAGCGCGUGAUGGCCGCGCAGGUGGCCCUGAGAAGGCAGCAGGCCCAGGAGGAGGAAUUGGGUAUCAGCCACCCCAUCCCACUGCCCAGUGCGGCCGAGCUACUUGUCAAAAGAGAGAACAAUGGCAGCAACCCGUGCCUCAUGACUGAGUGCAGUGGCACCUCUCAGCCACCGCCAGCCAGUGUCCCCACCACUGCAGCUUCAGAGGGACGUAUGGUCAUCCAGGAUAUUCCUGCUGUCACCAGCAGAGGGCACGUGGAGAACACACCUGACCUGGUUUCAGACUCCACCUACUACAGCAGCUUCUACCAGCCAUCUCUGUUUCCUUACUACAACAAUCUGUACAACUGCCCGCAGUACUCCAUGGCCUUGGCUGCUGAUUCUGCUUCUGGGGAGGUGGGAAAUCCCCUCGGGGGAUCCCCUGUGAAGAACAGCCUUCGGGGCCUCCCCGGACCUUAUGUGCCUGGUCAGACAGGAAACCAGUGGCAGGUAUGAUAUUAAUUACCCAGAGAGUGAACUGGUUGUGUGAAAGCCACAUGCAUGUGCACACACAUGCACAUACACACAGAGGCACGCACUUGUGCGCACAGAGGCACACAGGUGACACACACAGGUACACGUGUGUGUGCCAUUUUGCACACAUGUAGGCACAAUAUGCAAAACGUGUAAGGAAUUUUUUACUCUGUCGAUAAUGCCCUUUAGCCUCAAAGGUUGGCUGCAAGGAAUUGGAAAGAAAUAAUGUACAAACUUGUUUUCUUUUUCAAAUUUUACUUUUCUCGUUUUUUGAAUGUUGCGUAAAUAACCAGUUGGGCACAGGCAGAUCACAAGUACUGAAUGAGGUACCACCUCCUCCAGCUUUGUCCCCACUUUCGUUGGGCACCUUAGAAAAUGCUGGGUAGAGCCUUCUGGGUGGCAGUAAUCUGCGUGAUGAAUUUACACCUUGGGAAGGAAACAGGUCAUAAUCUGCAUGGAAGAAAGGUAAGGAAAGGAAUUCGGUCACUGUUGAGCUGGACCCAACCUGGGUGCAUUUUUCGCUAGGAAUAGAGGUCAGUCUUUCAUUCUCCAAGUAUGUUUUUUUGUUUGUUUGUUUGUUUGUUUUGGUUUGGUUUUUGAGACAGAGUCUCGCUCUGUUGCCCAGGCUGGAGUGCAGUGGUAGGAUCUCAGCUCACUGCAACUUCUGCCUCCUGGGUUCAAGUGCUGCUUUUCACCUCAGCCUGUCAAGUAGCUGGGAUUACAGGCGCCCACCACCCCACCCAGCUAAUUUU